rnacentral:rRNA from 1 species
GACGAACGCUGGCGGCGUGCUUAACACAUGCAAGUCGAACGGAAAGACCCUGCUUUUGUGGGGUGCUCGAGUGGCGAACGGGUGAGUAACACGUGAGUAACCUGCCCUUGACUUUGGGAUAACUUCAGGAAACUGGGGCUAAUACCGGAUAGGAGCUCCUGCUGCAUGGUGGGGGUUGGAAAGUUUCGGCGGUUGGGGAUGGACUCGCGGCUUAUCAGCUUGUUGGUGGGGUAGCGGCUUACCAAGGCUUUGACGGGUAGCCGGCCUGAGAGGGUGACCGGCCACAUUGGGACUGAGAUACGGCCCAGACUCCUACGGGAGGCAGCAGUGGGGAAUAUUGCACAAUGGGCGGAAGCCUGAUGCAGCAACGCCGCGUGCGGGAUGACGGCCUUUGGGUUGUAAACCGCUUUCGCCUGUGACGAAGCGUGAGUGACGGUAAUGGGUAAAGAAGCACCGGCUAACUACGUG